UACGGAGGGGGCUAGCGUUGUUCGGAAUUACUGGGCGUAAAGCGCACGUAGGCGGAUUGGAAAGUCAGAGGUGAAAUCCCAGGGCUCAACCUUGGAACUGCCUUUGAAACUCCCAGUCUUGAGUUCGAGAGAGGUGAGUGGAAUUCCGAGUGUAGAGGUGAAAUUCGAUAGAUAUUCGGAGGAAACACCAGUGGCGGAAGGCGGGCUCACUGGCUCGAUACUGACGCUGAGGGUGCGAAAAGCCGUGGGGGAGCAAAACAGGGA
rnacentral:rRNA from 1 species